rnacentral:rRNA from 1 species
GGUUUAAUUCGAUGCAACGCGAAGAACCUUACCUGGUCUUGACAUCCACAGAACUUUCCAGAGAUGGAUUGGUGCCUUCGGGAACUGUGAGACAGGUGCUGCAUGGCUGUCGUCAGCUCGUGUUGUGAAAUGUUGGGUUAAGUCCCGCAACGAGCGCAACCCUUAUCUUUUGUUGCCAGCGGUCCGGCCGGGAACUCAAAGGAGACUGCCAGUGAUAAACUGGA